GUCAAAAGUAACGGCGUUACAGUAACGCGUUACUGCCCAACACUGGAAAUACACAUCAUGGUUCAUCAUUAUGAAGUUAACAGUUAAAGAGACUUGACCAAUGAUUUUGCUUUAUUAUCCACAGCGACACAGCGAGCUCAUUUGGUUGUGUUCAUGUUUGGUACAGUGGGGGUUGUGUUUGUGAAUGCUGUUGUGUUAUCAGUAGAGCUGAUCCUAAAAGCACGAAAUGGUGAGCGUACAGUGGAUCUGCGACUUAUUCUCCUACCGACUGAAAGCGCAUUUGCUGCGUGCUGCCUUGCUUUAAAAAUA